UAAGGAAUAUUGGUCAAUGGGCGCAAGCCUGAACCAGCCAUGCCGCGUGCAGGAAGACGGCCCUAUGGGUUGUAAACUGCUUUUGUCAGGGAAUAAACCCCCGCUCGUGAGCGGGGCUGAAGGUACCUGAAGAAUAAGCAUCGGCUAACUCCGUGCCAGCAGCCGCGGUAAUACGGAGGAUGCAAGCGUUCUCCGGAUUCAUUGGGUUUAAAGGGUGCGCAGGCGGAUUGGUAAGUCAGGGGUGAAAUACCACAGCUCAACUGUGG
rnacentral:rRNA from 1 species